UUAACCUAAGUGCCGUGUUGCUGAUGAACAUCUUUAUAUGCAAAACCGGAGCACCCAGAGAAAACCCACCAAACGCAGAGAGAAUUUGCAAACUACACACAGAAAUGCCUGCUGAUCCAGCUGCGGCUCGAGUCAGCAUCCUUGCUUAUUGGAUGCCUGAUUGCAGUUCAACUCCCAAACUCANGUUGGACCAGCUGAUCAGUGUCUUCAGUAUUACCACAAGCUACUGGGCAGAUGUGUGGACAGCUAUGAGCCAAACUUGGGACGUUUGGUUUUUAGGUAAUACCAGUGACAAAGUAUUCAGUAAAUUGCUUAUAAUAAAAGAUGCUCACUGUUUACCCCCUUAUAGUUACGUUGUUUGCAGUUUCAUUGUUGUAAAAAUACCAUACUUUUUGAAGUGUACUAUGUGAAUGACAUAAAGGAAACAGGAUCAAAAAGAUCAUUCAUUAUAGAAUGUUUCAUAGGUCCUCCUGAUCAUUCUGUUCUCCUGGUUGUGAGGAUGUGCA